GAUGAACGCUGGCGGCGUGCCUAAUACAUGCAAGUCGAGCGAAUGGAUUAAGAGCUUGCUCUUAUGAAGUUAGCGGCGGACGGGUGAGUAACACAUGGGUAACCUGCCCAUAAGACUGGGAUAACUCCGGGAAACCGGGGCUAAUACCGGAUAACAUUUUGAACCGCAUGGUUCGAAAUUGAAAGGCGGCUUCGGCUGUCACUUAUGGAUGGACCCGCGUCGCAUUAGCUAGUUGGUGAGGUAACGGCUCACCAAGGCAACGAUGCGUAGCCGACCUGAGAGGGUGAUCGGCCACACUGGGACUGAGACACGGCCCAGACUCCUACGGGAGGCAGCAGUAGGGAAUCUUCCGCAAUGGACGAAAGUCUGACGGAGCAACGCCGCGUGAGUGAUGAAGGCUUUCGGGUCGUAAGACUCUGUUGUUAGGGAAGAACAAGUGCUAGUUGAAUAAGCUGGCACCUUGACGGUACCUAACCAGAAAGCCACGGCUAACUACGUGCCAGCAGCCGCAGUAA
rnacentral:rRNA from 1 species